rnacentral:tRNA from 1 species
CGGUAUUCGGAGGUUCGAAUCCUUCCGUCCCAG